AUCUUGAUAGCUUAAGUUAAAGCGCUACUUUGAAGCAGUAAGGAUAAAUGUAUUUUUCAAGAUG
rnacentral:tRNA from 1 species